rnacentral:rRNA from 1 species
GAGAUGAGGUUUCUCAUAGCAUAAGCUAGUAAGAUCCCAUGUAGACGACAUGGUUGAUAGGCCAGGUGUGGAAGAGCCGUGAGGUUUGGAGCUGACUGGUACUAAUAGAUCGAGGGCUUUACUUA